AUGGUACAAACUGCUCAUAAGAGAAAGCUACCUAUGGUGGUCCUUAAGCUAGAUUUUCAGAAGGCCUUUGACACAGUUAGCUGGGCGGCUCUGUUUAACAUUAUGGAGGCUCGUGGUUUCCCGCAAAGAUGGAUCACCUGGGUCCAUAACUUUCUGACCACGGCAACAUCUCGGGUUAUGGUCAAUGGGGAGCUUGGCGAUUCUAUUCUUGCCAAAAGAGGGUUGCGGCAGGGAGAUUCCAUCUCUCCAUACCUCUUCAUCUUGGUUGCUGAUGUUCUUCAAAGAAUUUGCUGCUCCAAGUUUGAAUCUGGUGCUUUAAUUCACCCUUUGGGCGCGGAUCGUAUGUUUCCAGUUCUAUAG
rnacentral:rRNA from 1 species